AGGACUAUUCAAUUCUACAGCUGCUUCCCACCCUUCCCCUCCAUGGAUGCUCCACGUAACUCUACCAAUUAAGGUACUUUGGUGGCAAGUGGUUUUCCUAUGGUAAAAGGUCUCCUGAAGGACACCUUGCUGGGAAGGUCUUCUCUCUGACAUCCACUCAUGAAGCUCUACGACUUCCUAAGGAAGUUUGCAACAAUCCAGAAUGCCACAGCACAAAUUCUGUGACGACGUAUUACCAUCAUCAAUAAUAAUUAUCAGAAAUCAUGAUAAUUACCAGCAAAGCUGCCUGCUGCGGAUAAUGACAUCCAUCUAAGAAGGAUAACUGUGCAUGCUGAGGCUUGUCUGCUUGAGAGGAGUCCACCCGUUCACUCUGGAAGGUGGAAAAUGUCCAAUGCAAGGCUCUGUGAUGCUCCAGCUUACAGCAGAUUGAUGUCAGUGCAGCUCCUCUGGCAGCAGCAGGAUUGCUCUUCUGCACCAGGAUCAGGGCCAGGUUCUCUGCAGGGGAAAAGAGACAAGAAGCAAGCUGAACUGUUUGCAUUUGUGUCUUUGCCUCACGCUGUGCCCUGUUUAAAGCAAGGCAGCAGAGGGAUGCUUCUCCCUUCCGUCAGCAGGGCCUGAUGAGGGCAGUAAGAAUUGCUCAUGGCUACAUCCUUCAUGUGGGCAUCUCACAGCAGACACUUCUCAGUUGAACACUCGCUCCUGGCGGGCAGGUAGGGAUGCUGUCCCCAUGCUUCAAGUGCACAGAGGCCCAUGUGGAACAGCUGGAGAAGCUGGGAAUACAGGCAAGAAAGGCCAACUUCAUAGGUCACAAACCACAGCAGUGAGGCCAGUCAAGCUGGUCAUUCUGAUGAAUGAGUUCACACACAGCCCCAUAAGCUUAGCUUAGCAACACCCGAGUACAAAAGGGAGCGAGCUCCCACAGCCUGACCCAGAACUGCCCAGUGACCAUUCCACUGACUGUAAAGGCUUCACCCCCAUCAGGCUGCAAGCAGAGCCCACCAGAACCGGACCCAUGGGAGCAAGCAGGAGGCCCUGCUGUCUUAUCCUGCACCAGGAAUCCAUUCUCAGAGGAUUAAUUAUUUGUACUGUUAAGCAAACACGAGCGCCUGUGGUGCAGGCUGAGUAGGGCUGCUCCUAAUCGAAAACAGCCUGCUUGUUUAUUUCUAGCUUUUUUUCCCCCCAUUGUCUAUUUUGGUGCUUAAAAAAAGCAAAGCUGGGAGCUGCGUGGCCAUGCUCUCCCUGCAGCAGCCUGCAAGCCCCCAUCAGCCAGGAAGGCACAGCAGAGACGCUGUGCACUCCCAGAUCUCUCCUGUGCAAGGACUGCACGGCCAGACAGGUUACAGGGGAGAGUUAUUAAAACCAUCUGAACUCGAGCAAUGCUGGGCAGCCUGUAAUGUUAUUUUUGUUAAUGUAGCUGCUUACAGGUCCCAGUUUUUCUUUCUUUUCUGUUUUUGGCACAGGACCGACCACAUACCUAAUGCUUGAACAAAAGUGGGAAUACUGGAGGAUUAGGAAUACCUCAAUUUAUGGCAGGAUUAGCUGGAGUUUUAUCCUGCCUGACAAAGAACUAAAAUGCACAAUCAAGAAGGCAUUCCAACCCCAUUAUCUCCUACUCCUGAUGUAAAGAAUGCAGAAAGAUCACACCCAAAAGAAGAGUUUAUGCCAUCCAUUUGAGGCAUCUCAGUCUGUGACCAGAAAUCAGCAUGUUAGUUGAAUAAUGCUACAGCGAAAAUAAUAGUAAUUCUAUAAGAACUAGACAAAAAAAUCACUUCUUCUCUUGCUUAUAUCACUUCUGCAUAAAACAAAGCUAAUGAAAAGAGAACCAAGCC
ensembl:lncRNA